AUACGUAGGUGACAAGCGUUAUCCGGAUUUACUGGGCGUAAAGGGCGUGUAGGCGGUCUUGCAAGUCAGAAGUGAAAUUCCUGAGCUCAACUCGGGCGCUGCUUCUGAAACUGCAGGACUUGAGUGCUGGAGGGGAUAGCGGAAUUCCUAGUGGAGCGGUAAAAUGCGCAGAUAUUAGGAAGAACACCGGUGGCGAAGGCGGAUUUCUGGACAUUAACUGACGCUGAGGCGCGAAAGCGUGGGGAGCAAACAGGAUUAGAUCCCCUGGUAGUCCACGCCGUAAACGAUGAAUACUAGGUGUAGGGUGUAUCGACUCCCUCUGUGCCGCAGUUAACACAAUAAUUAUUCCGCCUGGGGAGUACGGCCGCAAGGUUGAAACUCAAAUGAAUUGACGGUG
rnacentral:rRNA from 1 species